rnacentral:rRNA from 1 species
UACGGGGGGGGCAAGCGUUGUUCGGAAUUACUGGGCGUAAAGGGCUCGUAGGCGGCCAACUAAGUCAGACGUGAAAUCCCUCGGCUUAACCGGGGAACUGCGUCUGAUACUGGAUGGCUUGAGUCCGGGAGAGGGAUGCGGAAUUCCAGGUGUAGCGGUGAAAUGCGUAGAUAUCUGGAGGAACACCGGUGGCGAAGGCGGCAUCCUGGACCGGCACUGACGCUGAUGAGCGAAAGCCAGGGGAGCAAAAGGU